AGAAUGACCUAGUAAUAAGUACAGUUCAGUGCAGGUCAAACGUAAGGAAAUGAAUAGGGAAACGGGCGAAACGAAUAUGUAAGUGUGUAUGGGGCAAACUGUUUUUUGAGAGUUUCUCUUUUC
ensembl:ncRNA K03H9.11 ncRNA